rfam:Triticum aestivum genome assembly, contig: Triticum_aestivum_CS42_TGACv1_scaffold_404345_5BL
CUAGUACUCCCUCCGUCCGAAAAUACUUGUCAUCAAAAUGGACAAAAAAGGAUGUAUCUAGAACUAAAAUACAUCUAGAUACAUCCAUUUUUAUUUAUUUUGAUGACAAGUAUUUCUGGACAGAGGGGGUAUAUG